AAAUGACAUACCAUAAGCCCUAAAUCAGAAAGGUCUUUGCCAUGAAAAGCCUGGAUUAUUUACAGGCCUGUCUUAAUUCCACAGGAUCUUGGCUCUACCCAGUAUCCUGAGGAAUCUUCAUCUAGAACACCCCAGUAAACCAGAACCAACUCUACAUCUGGCAAGCAUCGUAUCCACAAUGGAAGAGAAACAGUGUUACACAGUGGAGGAAGAGGACUUUUCCAGACUGAAUCUACCACCACUCAUAAUAUGGGUUCAUCUCAGUAUAAUGAUCACUUCUCUGUCUCCCUCCCCCAAUCUUUGUCUUCUCCCAGUUUCUUCUUCAAUAAACAUUGCUACUCU
rnacentral:lncRNA from 1 species